AAUGAACGCUGGCGGCAUGCCUAACACAUGCAAGUCGAACGAAGGCUUCGGCCUUAGUGGCGCACGGGUGCGUAACGCGUGGGAAUCUGCCCUUGGGUUCGGAAUAACAGUUAGAAAUGACUGCUAAUACCGGAUGAUGUCGUAAGACCAAAGAUUUAUCGCCCAAGGAUGAGCCCGCGUAGGAUUAGCUAGUUGGUGGGGUAAAGGCCCACCAAGGCGACGAUCCUUAGCUGGUCUGAGAGGAUGAUCAGCCACACUGGGACUGAGACACGGCCCAGACUCCUACGGGAGGCAGCAGUGGGGAAUAUUGGACAAUGGGCGAAAGCCUGAUCCAGCAAUGCCGCGUGAGUGAUGAAGGCCUUAGGGUUGUAAACUGCUUUUGUUAGUGAAGAUUAAGACAGUAGCUAACGAAUAAGGACCUGCUAACUACGUGCCAGCCGCCGCAGUAA
rnacentral:rRNA from 1 species